rnacentral:rRNA from 1 species
ACGGCAUUGAGUGCUUGCACUCUUUGGACGUCGACCGGCGCACGGGUGAGUAACGCGUAUCCAACCUUCCCAUUACUGUGGGAUAACCUGCCGAAAGGCAGACUAAUACCGCAUAGUCUUCGAUGACGGCAUCAGAUUUGAAGUAAAGAUUUAUCGGUAAUGGAUGGGGAUGCGUCUGAUUAGCUUGUUGGCGGGGUAACGGCCCACCAAGGCAACGAUCAGUAGGGGUUCUGAGAGGAAGGUCCCCCACAUUGGAACUGAGACACGGUCCAAACUCCUACGGGAGGCAGCAGUNAGGAAUAUUGGUCAAUGGACGGAAGUCUGAACCAGCCAAGUAGCGUGCAGGAUGACGGCCCUAUGGGUUGUAAACUGCUUUUGUAUGGGGAUAAAGUUAGGGACGUGUCCCUAUUUGCAGGUACCAUACGAAUAAGGACCGGCUAAUUCCGUGCCAGCAGCCGCGGUAAUACGGAAGGUCCAGGCGUUAUCCGGAUUUAUUGGGUUUAAAGGGAGCGUAGGCUGGAGAUUAAGUGUGUUGUGAAAUGUAGACGCUCAACGUCUGAAUUGCAGCGCAUACUGGUUUCCUUGAGUACGCACAACGUUGGCGGAAUUCGUCGUGUAGCGGUGAAAUGCUUAGAUAUGACGAAGAACUCCGAUUGCGAAGGCAGCUGACGGGAGCGCAACUGACGCUUAAGCUCGAAGGUGCGGGUAUCAAACAGGAUUAGAUACCCUGGUAGUCCGCACAGUAAACGAUGGAUGCCCGCUGUUGGUACCUGGUAUCAGCGGCUAAGCGAAAGCAUUAAGCAUCCCACCUGGGGAG